GUUUCAUGGGAGAAGCUCUAAACUUUACCUCAACAUUUAUGUAAAGUUAAAGCUGUACAGAUUCUGAGUCUUGGAAGUUUAUUUCAAAGAAAAGACAAUGCCUGUGCCACAUAUUUGACUUGGUUCUAUAAAUAUUAUGAAGCUUCAGGAAAUAUGAGCAGGAUCUCAAAUAUAUUCAAUAAGCUUCCAAUUUUUGUCUUUUGAGAUGGUUGGUCUUGGAACCCAGAACCAUGCUUUAAGAUGUCAAGCCUCCUCUGCUGAUGCUGUAUGGAGAACAGACAAGCUUUCCCAUGAAGCCCUAACCAAACUGCAGAACUGUGAAUAAAAUAAUUGUUAUGAAAAUGCA